GAUACGGCGAGUGAAGCGGCAAAAGCUCAAAUUUGAAAUCUGGUACCUUCGGUGCCCGAGUUGUAAUUUGGAGAGGGCAACUUUGGGGCCGUUCCUUGUCUAUGUUCCUUGGAACAGGACGUCAUAGAGGGUGAGAAUCCCGUGUGGCGAGGAGUGCGGUUCUUUGUAAAGUGCCUUCGAAGAGUCGAGUUGUUUGGGAAUGCAGCUCUAAGUGGGUGGUAAAUUCCAUCUAAAGCUAAAUAUUGGCGAGAGACCGAUAGCGAACAAGUACAGUGAUGGAAAGAUGAAAAGAACUUUGAAAAGAGAGUGAAAAAGUACGUGAAAUUGUUGAAAGGGAAGGGCAUUUGAUCAGACAUGGUGUUUUGUGCCCUCUGCUCCUUGUGGGUAGGGGAAUCUCGCAUUUCACUGGGCCAGCAUCAGUUUUGGUGGCAGGAUAAAUCCAUAGGAAUGUAGCUUGCCUCGGUAAGUAUUAUAGCCUGUGGGAAUACUGCCAGCUGGGACUGAGGACUGCGACGUAAGUCAAGGAUGCUGGCAUAAUGGUUAUAUGCCGCCCGUCUUG
rnacentral:rRNA from 1 species